GUGCCCACCUCCUUAUGAGUGCAUCGUUUGCAGUAAGUUCGUCCGUAAUGAUUUUCCGCGUCACAGCCUGACCACGCACUUGCUUGAUUCCGUCGGCGUCGCACUCCGUCAGUUGUCUUGCACUUGCAAUCCGCUUAUACUUGCGUUUUUCUUGCGUCCGCGUUUUGUCGGCCGACCACCGGGACGUUACUGUGAUGUAUAGUAACAAAUUUAUACACAAUACUAUCAAUAGACUAGUCGACAAACAUGCUUUGCUAAAAGCUUACAAACGAAAUUCCAAGAAAUGGAAAAAGGUGAUUAAAAACUAACGAAAAAUAUCUUCCCAAGUGAAAAUGUCUACUUCAAUGAGAUAACAAGGAUAAUGAUGGUUACAUUCUAUCCAGCAGAAAAAUAUAUAAUUAGUAAUUUAUUAUUAGAUGACAUCAAACGGUAUUUAUUACAAAACGCACCAUCAGUUUAUGCUUAUGAGGUGAAAUAUUGUUGUAAAUAUGUUAAGGAAUAACCAAGAUGGAGAUUUAAAAAAGAUGUUCAAUUUUCUAAGUCCUAUAGCAUGGAUUUUGAUGGUAUACAUCCAUAUUUGUAUGAAGCAGAAACAACUUUAUACUACAUUUUAUAUAAUUAAAUAGAAAUAUUCUUUAUGAA